rnacentral:rRNA from 1 species
CUUAAGCCAUGCGAGUCGAGAGGGGUAAGCCCUCGGCGCACUGCUCAGUAACACGCGGACAACCUGCCCUCGAGACGGGGAUACCCCGGGAAACUGGGAAUAAUACCCGAUAGAUCUGGGAUGAUGGAAGGCUCCCAGGUCCAAAUCCUGCGGGGCUCGAGGAUGGGUCUGCGGCCUAUCAGGUAGUAGGGGGUUUUACGGACCCCCUAGCCGAAGACGGGUACGGGCUUUGGGAGAAGUCGCCCGGAGAUGGAUUCUGAGACACGAAUCCAGGUCCUACGGGACGCAGCAGGCGCGAAACCUCCACAAUGUGGGAAACCACGAUGGGGGAACUCCAAGUGCCUAGACUUAUGUCUAGGCUGUUCUCGAGCCUAAAAAGCUCUAGAAGUAAGGGCCGGGUAAGACCGGUGCCAACCGCCGCGGGUAA